AUGGAAGGAAUUGAAUUCCUGCACAAUAGUUUGUGUAGCAUUGAGUUGGGCUUAGCCCAACUAGUUUCGGCCGUACCAUGCAAUACACAAGAAAAUGAGGAGUCGUGUAUUGGGAGCAUCAUUCCAAAGCAUGUUACCAUCCUCACACCUAAGGAUAUCAAUGCAAGGGGCACAUGCUCUAGAAUAAAGGGGCAUAGGGAUGGUGUGAGGAGUGGAUCUGGUGAGAAGAGAAGGCCUGGAAUUCAUCAAAAAGUCGCGCGCAAAUGCAAAAUUGUAAGGAAAUGGUGUUUCAUGAUGCAAGAACAUGUUCUAAGAAACAAACGACAAAACAAUAGAGGUAGAUCGAGCUGA
rnacentral:rRNA from 1 species